CCGCCUGGCGGCUGGAGAGCCUCGACGGCCCUCGGGGACGCUGUCACCCUCCUCCUGGCCUGCUGUACUCUUGGCACCGACGGGAUUGCCGCGGAGGGGAGAAGGAAGGCAGCUGCUGCCCUCUCGCCUGAGCAACUGAAAUGCUGAUGCUAUUGGGUAGCAGUGUAACUUCGGAGGUGGAGCGAUUAUAAAAAAAGUAAUGUUUUGAGUCUCAUGAAAGCUGGCGACAUUUCAUUGUAAUUUUGCUUCAGAUGAUCUGGGCUUGACUUUUCAAAAGCUACACACGUGGAAUGCUUGUGGGAGAUGUACUUAUAAAAUUUGUCAAGCCUUAAAAAUACCCUUGUGAGCACAGAACUUUGUAUAGAUAAUCUUCAUGCUGUGAAGUAAGAGCUCAAGAACAUUGGAGGGUGGAAUGUUGAAGACAGAAAGAAACAAAAGGCUAAGCAGUAAGUGUGCUAAAGUUGCCAAAUAGGGUGUUGGAAUUUAAAAGGCUGAUAAUAAAGUUAAAGUUUGACCUGAGUGAAGUCACUGACUUUUAGUUCUUGUAUGCCAUUGGAUUGUAAAUAGUGGAAGGAUAAUUGAAAAUUCUUAGCAGAUACAGAUUCAUGUUAUAUUUGAAUUAUUUUGUGGGUUCAGAACUUUAUAUUACAGCUGGAAAUGUUGUAAAGGAUUUUACAGAUCUUGCUCUGCAAAUUUGGGAAUUAAAAAAAUACACAGGAAAUUUCUACUCAGACCCAACAUCUGUUUUUUGGUGAGAUCCUGUUUUUGACUUCUCCCACCUCCACCUCCUUCAGAGACUACGUAUGGGCACGGUGAUGUUCAUUUCCUGUCUUGCCAGCUCAAGGAAGAAGAUUAAUUUCAGACACCCCCUGUUUCAGAUCAUCAUACUGAAGGUCAUACAUCUUGGGAUCAUUUUUCCUACUACAUUUUGUCAUUGCCUUUGUUGAGGAUGAAAAUAAGUGACUUGCCUAAGGUCAACUAGAUCCAUAUAUAGUUCCUAUCAAAAUAAAUGAGAAUAUAUUCAUUAGCUCAGCUUUUGUUCUUAAUAAGGAUUUCACUUAAAUUUCUGGACCUUCUAGCAUCUUAGUUGCUCUCGUUUGGUUAGGGUGAUCUCACAAGCUGUUUUAUCUACUAUAAGAUUUGCCAGUUGGUCAAACACAGAAGUUUUCAUAAAGCAAAAUACUUAUUGCUACUUGUUUAUUUAGUGUUAACUAAAUGUUAUUUAAUCAAAUUUUGUAUUUUUGAAAUGUCUGACAGGAGACUAAUAAAUAGUAUUAACAGUAGUCUCUAUAGUGGCUUGGAUCAGCAGUUCAUGGUUUCUCAGACAGAUUUGUCCCAAAGAAGGUACGGUCCUGGGUACUUAGAAUGAGGUUGCACUCAUUUCCUCUAAGUGUUAAUGCUGGGAGUUUUUUCAUCUUUCAGAGGAAAAAAGUGUCUCCAGUUCUUGCAGCAUUUGGGUUGAAAGAUUCGCUUGGUUGUGAAUGUGUGGUUGAAUUUCAGUUUCUCUCUGAAUAUCAUGCAAUGAGAAAUUGGUGUAGUGGAAGUACAGUCCGGAGAUAAAGCUGAUAGGAGUGAGUUUGUCACCUCUGCUCUUUCACAACAUAAAUUUUGGAGGCAUUUAACCAAGGUGCUGAUCCUCUGAAAUUUUAAAAAUUGAAAGUUAAAGAGGGUCUUUGAUGUGUCAAGUAGAGGAGGAGUUAUGUUACUUUUAAAGAAACAGUGGGUGACUUCAGAAAAGUAGUUAUUUAGUACUUCAGGCUGUGUUGAAUUCUCUUCUAUCGUUUAGCUCCUUCAUUUAUUUAACAAAGAUCCACUCUUUUCUUUAACAUUCUUCUUUUUCCCCAAAUGUAUAUUUAAAAAGAUAUAUGAAGUACAAAAGAGAAAAUGUAUGCUAAAGAUGUUGUGUGCUAUUUUUGACCUUACAAUGCAUACCACCUUACAAUGUAUAGCAGUGCACAUCACAUCAUAAUGUGUAUGUGGACCUGGACGUACUUACAACGUAAUGAAGAACCAGGCACUCAGAUGUUUGUGAAAAGUAAGGCUUAUCAAUUAACAGAUCUUAAGAAAAUAAUGGCACAGAAAAAUGCUGAUUUUAAGACUUGAGAAAGAAAAACUGUCAGAUGCAAAUUUAUGUGGAAGGGUACCCUUUGGCUGUCUAGUCCAUCUGUCUUCUAUCAUAUAGAAAAACUCAACAGAAUAUUGAAAUUCUGAGAAUAGUUGAUUUAUUGGCUUAUUUGGAAUUUGUGAGGUAAGAGCAUGUAGUAUAAGGCCUAUAGCUCCAUGAUCAAAAUUAGGCAUUCAUACUAUGCUGUUUUGAAUACCAGUAAAACUAAUUUAGCUUUUUGGCUCUUCAGCAAAAGGGAAAUAUUUUAUUACCGCUUUAUUAGUGGUUCACACUUCUAUAGCCCUUUUGGGGCAGAAUUAUCAAACUGGUAUAUUAACCUUAAAACUAAGCCAUGCAGUGGAGAUAAAAGCCUUUUCUAUCUUGUAAUAUGUUGCUAGUGACAUAGAUUGUAACGGAGAGUCAAGAGUUUAUUAAACGAGAGAUUAUGAAUCGCAUACUGACUUUUGUUUUCUGAGUUUCUCAGUCUUUUCAUCAAUCUCUCACUCUGAAGGAGUAUAAACCUUAUGUCACAAAACUGAUAAAUGCAUGAUUUACGUUUCAGAAAAAUACUUCCAAGGAUAGUUUUAAGGGUUGCUUUUUAAUCAUAAGGUAUUACAGUUAGAAAUAAUCAGCUCAUGAUUUUUCAGACUUCUGCAGGGUUGGAUGUAGUAACUGACAGUGAAGAUUUUGAUCAUGGUUUGGGACAAAAUUCCGAUGUUGCAAAACAUGAAAAAGAAGCUGCAGGUGAUGCGAAGAAAAUUAUACUUUCUGUUGGAAGAUUGUUUUACCUGUACAUUUUUAGAUAAUUCCUGUGCUAAAUAGAGAUUUUUUUAUGGUGUAGUGUAAAGUAAUGUAAUUUACUCUAAUUGUUACAUUGCAUGUUAAUUUAUUAUUUGGAUUAAAUAUCCUUGUGAGACAAUGCUUCUCAACAGUUCUUACUGUGAAAAGUAGAUUUAUUGCAUGCAAAAACUGCUAAAAGGUGUAUUGGUAGGAAAACUGAGCUGGGUAGACAUUUCUUCUUUGUUUGGCUGUUUUUUUUGUCCACAGAUGUUAGCUGUUUUGUGUGGGAAUAAAGGUGUUAGUUUAUGAGUUUCUUGGAAAAAAAAUUUUAAAGCUUUGAAUCCAUGAGAUGUGGACUGAAGCGCCAGAGGACAUUAGUGGAAUGUUAGGUGAAAUCCAUAGGGAAAUAAUUCAACAGCAGCAUCUGGAAAGGAGCUGUAUGUGGCUUUAGGGUUUACUUUUAAUGUAAGUAGUUAAGAUGAGAUUAAAUAUAGGUGUUAGUAUGUGAGAAAUGGGGGAGCGAGCUAAGUGAUGAAGGUAUAUCAUGUGGAACACUGGGAUGAGGAAAAAGAUUUAACAGAAUCCAUGGCUAAUCGCAGCUGAAUUUUUAAAAACCUGGAAACAUAGUUUGGGUUGAACUACACGUUGGAGUCAUACAAAGAAAAAAACAGCUUACAUGAAGAAUUUAUUGGAAAAAAGAAGAGAGAGGAUGGGCAAGUUCCUUGGCCAUGCUGUGUCUCAUUUUUGCUGGAGUAGCGUGAAGAAGAUGGAAAGUUAAGCUACUACGCCAGCUGGCUCUUGCCAGAACAUAGAAGAAUCUACUGCUGAUUGGGAAUUGUCUCUUGUCUCCCUGUCACUUUCUGAUGUUUGGGAUUUGUUUCAGUUGCGUAAGCAUAGUUGUCUGGUGCCAUUUGAGAUGCCCUAGGGUAACAGAAAGCUCAAAGGUCUUGCAGAUACCACACAGGAUCUGUGGGAGAGCUGGGUCCUCUGGACUGGUAGCUGGAGGUCAAAUGGAAUGUAUCUCAAAAGCACUAAGCCUGUAAUUAGCCAACUGAAUUGUGUCGUUACUACUCAGCUUAGCUGUUUCUGAGGCUCUUGGUCCAGUGUUGACGAUGCAGAGAAAUGGCUUGAUUCAGCUGCCCACGCUUCAUUGCCAAUGCUAUUUAAGAUGCUCUGGUCUUGGCCUUCAGGUGCCCAAAAAGACACAAUCCCAUGUGCUGUAUUUUGGAAACCUUAAGAAUAUACCAGUAUAUAAAUGGACUGUAAUGGGACACUUAGCAUACCUGUAGACACCUAUAUGUAUAAGGCCAAGUUAUCUUAAACUCCAAUUGAAUCUUACUAUUAAGGACGUUUCAGAACAUUUUGAACUUGGUGGUAUGGUUGGACUGCCGUUUAGUCCCUAAUUAUGAUUGAUCAGCAGAAUUUAGAACAAUCCGUCGGCCAAGAUUGUUGUAAUUAUUGGUCAUAGUAAGAAGCAAGUACAACUGAUGGUAAUACCAUUAGAUGUAUAUGACAAAUUUCACAUGUGGUUAACACUUACCCACUUAUCUUAUUACCAGUUUUACAGAAAUGCACAUUUUUUUCUCAUCUGUUGCACAUCUUAUUACUCAGAAUAUCAGUCCUGGAAAAAAAAAAACUUACUCAUUUGCAAAGUCAAGAAAUGGUAGCAGUAAACAAUUAGGAAAUCUCAUGAUUCCUUUUGCCAUGACCUCUGUUCUGCUCAUUCUUAAACUCUAUGAUCUCCUUCUAUUUUUCCCUUUGUCAUAGGUUCUCCAGUCCGUUUUGAUCUACUUAAAAUCUUGCUGUAUCACUUUUUAGUUUAAUAAAUUGGAAAUUUAACCAGUUCAGCACAAGUCUCAAAUACAGUAUGGAUAUCUUUACUAAGGUAUAUCGUUAUGAUCUGUGUACUUUUUAAUAAGCUCAUGAAAACUGAUUAAAAAUUUUAAAUUUUUAUUUAAAAAUAAGGCUUCCUAUCUAUCUUUAUUUCUAGAUUUUAAAUAAGGAACAUUUUCAGUAGCUUUAAUUGUUAUCAGUUCAAUGGACAGAAAAAGAUACUCUCUAAAUAUAUUUAAGUGGUUCCAUUGUGGAAAUGAAACAUUUUUUAUGACAUUAAGCAUGGUGUAGCAUUCAAGAUACCAUAAUUUUCUCCCUACUACUGGGAAAUUAUUAUGGUAACACUUUGCAGAUGUUUUUUUUUUUUUAAAGAGGAGCUUUAUAAAUUUCAAAUUCUCCUGAAGGACGAGUUGCCAACCAUGGUUAAAUAAAUAGCCAUUAAACGACUGUCAUUUUUAUCAGUGUCUUUUGGAGAGAAAGCUAAGGAAAAUGUAGUGAUGGGCCAGUUGUACUUGAAUUAAAGAUUUCCUUGGUCUGUUAGGCUCUGGUUUCUGACACAGAAGGUGAUUUUGAUGACUGUAAUAAUUGAGAGUCAAUUCACUUUCCGCUUUUAACUUGAGUUCGUAAAAGAUCUAUUCAUAACAUUCGUUUUUAUUGACAGUGAGGUAUUUACCAAGGCAUAUCUAAUAGGAUGGAUGGGCCGGUUCUUCAGUGUAUUCAUUUUUUCCCCACUGAUAUCCCAAAGCAUUGUAAAGGACAAAUUACUUUCACAUGUUGGUCUUGUAAGGAUGAUUGUGCCUCUGCUUUUUCAAUGUGUAUGGAAAAACACCCUUCCUUCUGCCUUCUAGAAUUCUUGUCUUUAGUCUUGCCUGUAAAACACCAUACAACAUACACACCAUAAUACUGUUACCAUAAAUAAUAGUAAAGGAAAGUGUGGGAGGUUUUGGCUCCAGUGUCAUCAGUAUGCUGUUGAUCUCAGUUCUCUGUAUCCUUUUCAUCCAACCCAGAUGGCAGAGUAUAAUUACUUUUCCAGACUUUGACCAAGAUAGGGAUAUGGAUGAAAGUGAAUUGGCUGCAAAUCAACUUGGUUAAUGGAGAAACGUUGCUUGUUAGCCAAGGGAAGCAUUUAGGGAAAUAGAAAAAGAUAAUGUAUACACCAUGUCCUGAAAAUACAUUUUUAAUUUUUGCACGAGUGGCUAGCUGUAUUAGGAUCUUACAAACAACAGAGGCUUCUAGUACCUUUUGUUAACAAUGAUUUCAUUGUAACGGAGGUUUAACUGUGGUUGUAUAUGCCUCUGCUACCGCCUGACUCUAGCAAUACAUUCCCUUAAUUGUUAUUUUUCAAGUGAUCAAAAAUCUGUGACUGCAGCACAUGCCUGUCUGCUUUUAGGUUGUAUGAACUGCUAGCUAUGCUUGACACUUGUACUCAAAACUGCAAUUGCACAUGCUCUACAUUUGUAGAAAAUGGGAACAAAUGUUUUGUAGAAAAUGGCAAGCAAAGUUGUCAGUGAUAAUUCAGACAGUUCAGAAUCAUCCUGUUACUUGAUAGACUUGAGGUUAUGAGGAAUGUUGAAUAAAAUACAUGCCUGAAUAUCAGAGAAGGAGCUUCUUGGUUUUCAAAGACUGUGAACAGUCUUUGGGCUUGGUUUUAUCCUUCUGAAUUUUUGUGCUCUAUUGCUACUACUUUUUUCAGCACAUCCAGCAAUAUUGCAUGGAAUUGGACAUGGUUUGCAGUUGCUCCUGGAGCUAGCUUCAGUAGAACUAGCUCUGUCUGUUACACUCUCUAUUCAGAGCACAAUUCCUGAGAUUUCAUUUUUUCAUGGCUGUCUGUCAAAGCAGCAGUUUCAAUGGCCUGCAUCAGCUUGCUGAAUUUUCUCAUCUACUUGCUUGCAUUUGGCAAAUUUUAGGGCAUGACCACCAGAAAUGUUUGUGUGACUCUGUACUGACAAUGAGUCAUUAUCCUUGGCAGUGUAGUUAUAAUGGAGCAUGAACUAUUGUGAUUUUGAUUAUUACAAUUUAAAAUGCGUAACUUUAUGUAAUCCACAGUGUUCACAUUUCUCAUCUGUGCUUAUUAAAGGGAAGAACUUCUAGGAAUCUGUAACUAUCUUACCAUAUUCAUUUCUGUGUGAUUGCCAAUAUAGUUUCAUGGACUUUGUUUAAAUUACUAAAAGUAUCAGCAUAUCUGAAGAAGAAUAAGAUUCUAAAACAUUAA